rnacentral:rRNA from 1 species
UACGUAGGGGCCUAGCGUUGUCCGGAUUUAUUGGGCGUAAAGGGUGCGUAGGCGGCGCGGUAAGUCGGGUGUGAAAUCUCGGGGCUUAACUCCGAAACUGCAUUCGAUACUACCGUGCUUGAGGACUGGAGAGGAGACUGGAAUUUACGGUGUAGCGGUGAAAUGCGUAGAUAUCGUAAGGAAGACCAGUGGCGAAGGCGGGUCUCUGGACAGUUCCUGACGCUGAGGCACGAAGGCCAGGGGAGCAAACGGG